rnacentral:rRNA from 1 species
GAUCCUGGCUCAGGAUGAACGCUAGCUACAGGCUUAACACAUGCAAGUCGAGGGGCAGCAUUUUUAUAGCAAUAUAAAAGAUGGCGACCGGCGCACGGGUGAGUAACACGUAUCCAACCUGCCGAUAACUCGGGGGUAACCCUUCGAAAGAAGGCCUAAUACCCGAUGGCAUAUCCCUUCCGCCUGGUUGGGAUAUUAAAGAACUUCGGUUAUCGAUGGGGAUGCGUUCCAUUAGCUUGUUGGCGGGGUAACGGCCC